rnacentral:tRNA from 2 species
ACUAUUUUGGCAGAUUAGUGCCUUAAAUUUAGAAUUUAAAUAAGUGAAUUUCACAAAUAGUA